UUUUUUUUUGUGGUGCUGACACGUGGCACUUUUUCUUCUCCUUUUAUAUAUAGAUAGAUUAUUUUAUUUGAUCCUAACCGUUAUUAGGUUUAAGUUAAUAGACGAAUUCAAAACUGAUUGAAAAGAAGUAUGACGAUAAUAUUUGAUUAAAUACUUUGCAAAGUGUAUAAUUGUUUCCAAUGAAUGCACAGUAGUAAUAUUAGAAGUGCCUUGUUAAUUUCAUUGGACAAAUUUGGAAUACAUAAUUUCUAACAUAACAAAAGAAUUACAAUUUAAAAUAUAACCAAACAACGUGAAAGAUGAAAUUGAAAUUUUUGUCAAAAAUAGAAUAAAUAUAAACAUAAAAGAAAUAAAAUUGUUUCGCAGUGUCUUGACACCAAAAUCAUCUGGAGAAGUUCUACACAUUCAUGACAAAUCAGUUAGAUAAGUUUACGGUUGGAUAAAAAUAAUAAUUUGUAUGUUAUAAAUGUGCAUACCUUCAUAGUAAUUGAAAUUUUUAAAUAGGCACACGUGAAGGACAGCUUAGCAAUCACUGUUUUAAUUUGAAUAUAAUCGAAACUAUGCAAAAACAAACGAUUUAUAGAGAAAAACAUAGAACAGCAUAAAGUGUCAAAAACUUGUAAAUUAUGGACAUAAAAAGCUCAUGUGAGAUUGUUGAAGUUCAAUAUACAUCAUCAACUAGAGAAGAAAGAUAUGGUAAAAUAUGAUUAAGAAAAAUAUGUCGAAUUAAAGCACGGAUUUCCAUACUUCUCUUACCGUUCAUGUUCCUUCAAUUUUCUCCAUGUGCUCCUUUUAUUAUUCCUCAUGUUUAGUUGCUUUCACUUCUAUUACUUCGGUGUUUUAAUGUCAUUUCUCUUGCAAGAGAGUUCUGCUCUUCUCGUAGGCUUUGAGUAGAUGAAAAAUAUAAAUGAAAUUCUUUUCCAAAAAAGAGCACAAUCUCCUCAAGUAAGAGCGUUCAUAAACAAUAAUUAGUUCUUCAAAGUGUAAAAAAAAUCCCAAUAGAAAGUGAGAUUUAAAAUUUCAUAACAAGGUUAUCAUCAAAAGUGAAGAAAACGGAGGGAUCCACAAUCACCUCAAUUCACGUGAAAUUAUAAUGCACGUAGAAUUAACUUUAGAGACAUCCGUUAAAUUAUAUUGAAAUUGUACUGAUUCGUUAGGUUAUUUUUCUGUAUCUGUGUAUUUUCGGUGUUUAGAGCUUUCCCAUAGUGAUCCCAAGUCAUUUAUGAUUUGUUGGGUGAUAACGCUCAACUACACUUCUUUCGAUUCAAAGUGUAGGCGGUCGCUAACAAGUAUAAACCCAAUAAUGAGUUGGGGCCGAUCCCAUAGGGAGUGAUACGGUAAAGAAUUCAAGUACGAAGUAAAGACGUGUUUUAAUCUUUUGUAAAAGAGAAAGGCUACGCAACAUAAAAUAAAUCGAGGAGUUCAAUUAUCAAUAUCAAAUGCGGGGAUUUAGUAACCAAUUUUCAACAAAGGUAAUUAACACGGGAAUUGAACGAUUAGAGAGAGGACCCUAGGAGUGUGAGCAAUCGAAUACUAAUUUCUCUUAAUGGGUAAUUAAUAAUUGCUUUAAGUUGUUGAAUCGCAAUGGGUAGGAUAGGUUGUAAUUAUGAUAGCCAUUUCUCAAUCAACUAUCAUGUUUCAAGCAAGUUCUUCCGAACCUUGACAAGCUUAACAAUACAAAUCAACCCAAUUCCUUAAUUAAACCCACUUUCUCAAGCUGGAUUGUAAAGAUGCAAAUCAAUACAACUAUCAAUCAUUCAGUCUACUCUAAGCAUCUUUCUCAAGCAAGAAUAGAGAGCUAAGCUAGAACCGAAUUUGCAACUUCAGCUCAUCAAUGAAAACAUGUAUAAACAAUUGAACCCAUUUCAAAACAACAUUAAAUUCAGCAAUUAAUAAUACCCAUAAGCUAAUUUAUGUAUUCGAUUACAUGAUCACACCCCUUAGGGAAGGGGUUUUAUCCAAACAUAGUAAAAAGCAAGAAAUCGCUACCAAAAAGACUAUCCAUCCAAAUUUGUCAACAAUCUUCAAUGCUCAAUGCCAAAAUUCAGACUAGAAUCCUAAAUCUUCAAAUCUAAGAUAAAAAUCUUCUCCAAGAGUGUUCAAUAGUGUAAGAAGCUCUAAAAACUAUGUAACUUUCUAAUUCUCCAAAAACUCCUUUCAAAAAUCAAUUUAUAAGUUUCAGAAAACUUCCCAAAAUCUCAGCACGGAGUCCACUCAGCGACAUUAGUCGGGAUCGCCAAAUGACUCGGCGAUCCGCCAACGUCUUCUCACUUUUGGCUUGACUCUUGCGUACAAUUGUUCUGGAAUAUUUGUCGAGUUAGGUCGCGAUCACCGUUCCAUUUGGCGCAUUGCCGAAAUGCUCGUUUGCUCGCCGAGUUGGCUUAGUACAUGGGCUACUUCACUGGAACUUUUGGCAAGCUAGAAGCUCACUCGGCACGUCGCCGAAUGGCUUUUGCGAGCUCUAGCUUCUCUUUUCUUCAGCUUUUCCAACUUUUUCGCCCCUUUUUGCAUUGUAUUAUCCUUGCCUUGUUCUAAAGCCUUCAUUGAUGCAUAUAAACAAAUUAAUAUCAUUUAUGAGAACAAAAGAGGCAUUGAGGACACUAAUUCAUUGAAUAAUAAGCCUUAAAUGAGUCAAAAAAAUUUACUUUAUCACUGGGACUAGCCAUUGGGUCACCUUAUUGUUCGUUUGAUUUUUGUGCAAGUUUCUGCGUUUUGGAACUUUUGAAGCUUGAAUGGUUCACUUCGAUAAAAACUUCAGGUAAACGACCUUAGAAUGUAAUUCUGAUGGUUCCAUUAGCUCUGGAAUGUCGAUUUUGCACUAGAAGGACCCUUGGUUUAUAUCCUAAAGCUUCAGAACUCAUUUUAAGCAACUAUGAGACUCACUAUCUGUUGAGACGACUUCCAAUAGAAGUGUCGACAUUUUCGUUAAGUCCAAAAUGUUAUUCUAAUCAGAUAGCAUAGUUCAUUUGUGUGCAUGGAUUUAUGAACCAAUCUCAAGCACUCGAGCGAAGUUUGUUGGGACUUUGCUUAUUUGGUUAGUGCCUGAGAUGGUGUAGCCGCCUAAGCAGCCAUAGAAUGCUUGACUGGUGCCAAAAUGCUAAAGCGGACCAUGCCACUAAAACGCCAGUUUAGAGGUGAGUGUUUUAAUAGUCAUCGCAUAGUUAUAUCCAUUUUCAGGCCUCAUUUUCUCUAAAUAUUCUUCAAUUGUAGGACUUAGAGGGCUCAUUUGUUGUGGGAACUCGGAGUAUAUUGUUAGGAUUAGCAAAGGAAUUGUGGUGGAACCUUGUUAGACUUGUUACUAGCGCGAUUAAACCCAUGAAUCACAUUUCCUUUUCUCUGUUUUAGUCUUUAUGGUGAAUUCUUGAUUAUGUUGUUUUUGCUCUUUUUGAAGUUAGGAUUGUGCCUGUUUUAGGUCACAAGUUCCUUGAGUUGAAUGAUAUUAAUUAAUUAAGUCAAUUUCGUAAUUCUUUGAGCGGAUACCACAAUGUCAUUUGAUGGCGUGACAGCGAUCAGAGGUGGUUCGAAAAGGUAAAGCUCUGAUUAAGUGGAUUUUUGAGGCGCGCGAUUGAUAUCAAGGUAGGCUAUGACUUACCGAUCUUAGAUUGUGUUUGUUUUAGUAUUUACAGGGUGUUUAGAUGGUUUUAUGAGGGUUUUUUUUACAUGAUUAAUAUUUAGUUGAUAAAAUUCAUGCCUUAGCUUACAUUUUUUGGGUAUUUUGAUGGAAUUAAUCAUGUUUUCCUUUCUUGCAAUGCCUAUCAUGCCUUAUUGAUGCUUUAUGUAUGUUGCAUGGUUAUUUGUGUUUAUUCUUGGACUUAGUCUAGGCUUAGACUAGUGAUUUCCAUAGAAUUGCUAUUUGGAGCCGUUAUGCCUUAGAAAAUUCUUCGACAUUGGUUUGGAUGGUUUUAGCCUCUUGUAGACUGAUGUAGAAGACUUUUAUCAGAUAUUGUGAAUCCUUAGUUCAAUGAAAACCCUGGCCUCAUUUGAUUUUUAUUUUAAAUCUUCCUACGUUAUGUCCCUAGUGUGAUUCAAUUGUGACUUUAGGUCUUGUUGGAUACUUUGGGUUUGGACUUGAGUUUCGAGAUAGAGCUAGUCCUUUGUAACUUCGAGGGUGGUGUCGAUCCACACUAUUCCAUUAUUAUGAUGAACGUUUGGUUAUGGGGUUCUCCGGAGUGUACUAGCCAUGGUUUGAGGGUCGGGCACAUUUUUACUAGCCAUGGUUGAGAUCCGAAUGCAUUUCUACUAGUCGUGGUUUGAGUUUGGGCACACUUCUAUUAGUCUAGUUUGAGUCAUGAUAUCUUGGUUCUAUUAGGUUCUUCAAGGUGCCUUCGUUGCGGUUAAAGGUUCGGGUCGACCAUUUCAAUUCUUUGGAAUAUAUUUAGUCUUAGUUAUGAUUAGCACUUCCGUGAACUCCAUAAGGCUUAUGAGGGUUCGUUCAAAUUAUUUUCAUUUCAUUUGUGCACGAGUGUACCUUUUGGGCUUAUGGGUCUAAUUAGGUUAUAGUUAGAUGUCUUACUUUAUAUCUCCGCUUCAUGUUAGAUUACUGAGGCGCGUGGUUAGGCUUAUCGCUAUUGCUCCUUUCUUCUGACUCCUAGUUACCAUCUUACUUCUCGCUUUACAUUAUGUAUUUACUUUCCAAGCUUAGUCGUCCUAUGAUGCUUACUGGUACUAUUUGUUUGGUACUUAUGCUAUGCUCUGCAUAUGAUUUUCCUAAUGUAGAUUUGAGCACCAACUAACAACGUUGAUCUUGUACAGCAGCAGGGACAUCCAGAGAUCAAGGGUGAGCUGAUGGCGUUCUAGUUUGACUCAUCUUCAUCUGUAUAUAUAGUUUUUGGCUAGUCUUUUGUGUUCAAGAUAAGUCUGUACUUAUUUUUCUUAUUUUUGAGUUUGUACUUGUUUUAUGAGCUUUGUAACACCUUUCACCAGGUCGUGGGAUUGGAUCAUGUAUGGUUGUAUGUAUUUAUGUAAUUUCUUAUCUCCCGCUGUAAAUUUCCCUAUUAUGUUUUUAUUUCUGCUAAAUUUUAAGUUCUCUUUUGUUUGAGCCUGUUACUUUUCGUUCUGGGGUAUGUAUUGGCUUACCUACCGAUGUAUGUUGGUAUUACAUCUCGAGUUCCGAGUUGUGACAAUAAUGGUGUGACCUUUCUAGUCUUGAAUUUCUAUAGCAAUUUUUUUCUUUAAGUGACUAUGUAAAAAGGUCUUAGUACUGUGAAAGGGUGUAAUUAUGUAGAAAAUUAAUUUGGGGCUUUUAAAGUUCCUACUUUAAAAUAUCACAUAUAAAAUUUCUUCAAAAUUGAAAAAAUAGAUAAUAGACAUAAUAAGACUCUAUAGCAAUUUUCCAUCCCUACUUAUUAAUUACUUCCUUUCAAUGUGGUCAACUGUAUGCGUAUAUCAGAGAGCACCUCCACCUAUCUCUAGCACCGCCAUCUCGUAGUUAACCUAAUACCUCACCGUACAUGGCCGCUCCGGCCACUGGUCAGCCUAAUCUUGGGGCUGGCCAGUCGAAUCUAUUGCAAGAUAGUAGUUUCCCACCGUUGAAUCAGUGUUGCAUAGGUCAAAGUUCCCAGUUGGAUAACCUAAAUUUAACUAAUGAGUCUGCUUCAUUGCCAAAUAAUAGUCGCCCGGUAAAUGCUAACUAUGCUAACGUUCUCAAAAAUCACAACACCACUCAGGGUCAAAACUCUAGAAUUUUACCUAUUCCAAUGAAGCAUUAAUCAUAUAAUAAUGGAAUACCAGGAUUAGUAUAGACAGAAGAGUAAGUGGAUAAAUGAAUAUCUUGGAAGACCUUCAAUACACUGUGAUCGAAAAAAUUUCCUACGACUGGCCGGAGUUGGAAGAACUCCGCACAAUUUUACCACAUCAAUGUAAUAUAAUGGGGGAGUGUAAAAUUGAUCUUUUGAGAAAUCAACAUAUACUCAUUAGAUUGGAUCAACAUGCAAUUUUCAUCAAUCUAAUGUCAAAAAACAUUUAUUAUAUUCUUGCUAAGGACAUAUAUUCAUAUUUUAUGAGGCCACUGAUAUAUGAUGUUAAAUUCAAAGUUGAGGUAGAGACAACACAGGCUAUGACAUGGAUAUCCUUCCCGGAUCAGAAACCCACAUACUUUGUGAAGGAAGCCUUGUUCUCAUUAGCGACUGUUGUUGGAAAACCUUUACAUUUAUAUAUGGCUACAAUCAAUAAGACUAGGCCUAGUUGUGCUAGGGUCAAGGUGCAAGUAGACCUUCUAUGUGACUUUCCCAAGCAUGUUGAAAUAAAGAUUAUAAACGUGGCAAAAAAGAAGUCUAGGCUUGAAAAGGUUAAGAUACAGUAUUAUAUGCUUCCCAAAUAUUGCAAACAGUGCAAGGAUAUGAUGAUGAAGCAUGCAGAAAUCUACAUCCAGAACUAAGCAAAAUUAAGUGACCAAUGAUAAGGAGAUGGAACAUGAGAAAAAAGGCAGUAGCAAUGAAGAGUAGGGCAAUGAAUUUGCAACAACAAGAAGAAGAGUAAUUCAGAGCUACUGGAAGCCAAUAAAUAUUAUAGGCAUAGAAUUGAUUAGGGAAUUGAGGAUAAAAGGCAUAAAAGAAAAAGGCAUUAGUACCAAAAAUGCUUUUGGCGCACUAAUUAAAAAGAAUAAAAAAGAUCAUCCUGAUGGACGACAAUGAGAAUGAUAAAUCCAUGAAGUCAAGGGACUCCAUCACUCUUCUACAAAAGAGUUGAUAACAUAUGCAUUUGCUAAUUAUCAAGGAAAAGGAGGUGAGAAAGCAAGCAGUUUUGAUAGAACCACUGGAAAAGAUAAUAUUACUUAAAUAACAACACAUCACAAUGGAAUAAUAAGGGAUGAACAUUAGAGGUGUAAUCAACAAUAGUGGAUAGAAAAUGGAGAGAUUGGAGAGGGUGAGAGACAACUAUGUAUUGCACCUGCACAACAGAGCCCAGAUUUUAGCAACCUAAAUCAACAUAAUUACAAAGAGCCAGGUAAUAUGGCACUGGUGGAGACAACACAGAAAGAAGAUGAAAUUACUCCUGAAGGAGUUAGCAAAGGCAGAAUUUCAAACACCCCUUCAAAUUGCAGACUCAACCGUUGAAGAAAGAUAUCCAGCUGAAGAUGUGUUACAACCU
rnacentral:lncRNA from 1 species